rnacentral:pre_miRNA from 1 species
AGGUGGAGACUUGGGCAAUUGCUGGGCUUCCAGGAGGGCAUUGCACUUGUCUCUGUCUGA